rnacentral:tRNA from 1 species
GGUGGCUCAGUGGUAGAGCACUUGCCUUACAAGCAUGAGGCCCUGGGUUCAAUUCCUCAGCACCA